GAUUACUUUUGUUCUAUUACUCCUUCACAGCAAUAUAUCAAGAAAUAAAGGUGGUAUAUUAAAAGAAUAUCAAGCUAGUCCAAAGUGUUGUUUAUACAGCCUGGCUGAACAGCUGAAUUUCAGUAGUUUGACAGCUGUAACAGAUAGCCAAGCUUAGCUGGGGACAAACAACAUGUGAGCAGGACAAAGAGUCUGUGACAGCAUUAGGAAUUGGGACAAAGGAGAUGGCUGUUCAAGAUGGAGCCGCGCUCAUCUAUGCUGUCUGUGGCGUGAGACGCAAUCACUGAUUCACAGGGUGCCUGGGCAUAAGGAGGAUUGGCUAGUUGUAGGGAGGUGCACAAUGCAUUUGGCGUUACCGAUGGUGAAAUGAGACGCUCCUACAAGAUUGCCCUCAUUCAUGUGAAAUCUGUGUGCACACUUCUAUUGAAUGUGAAGUGUGAACAUGUCAAGCCUUGCAAGUCUUUCCUGGUAUUCCAGCAUCUCCAUCGACUUAUUUAGUUUGGUCGCCCGUCUCUGAACCUUUUCUAGUUCCAGGAUAUCCUUUUUGUAGCAAGAUCUGCACUACUUCCGCUAUACGCCAGUCUUUGGGAACCAUACCUGUUGAAAGUGAAUCAUUGAAGAUUAAAAAUAGGUCUUGUUAAUUCGGAGUGUAGAACCCUUGAGAACCCUUGAGUGAAUACCAUCUGGACCAGAUGAACCUUAUUUCUGGAAAUACAAGACUAUUAGGAAUGCAGGAAAAUAAUUUAAAGUAAUGUUUCCUCCAUUCUAUGAUGUGUUACAAGCCUGGUUUUCAAGUCAGCCACUAUGUAAAUGGGGGCCGUGCUAUGGCCAAGGUAGAAACACACUGUCCAGUAAAGUGUUAUCCCCCUGACAUAAAUGUGUCUGUUCAGCUAUGUCCAUUGAAGUAAGACAUGAUCAGUUUGCCCAGAGCAAGAGCCUUGUCUACGUUUCUAAACAGACUUUAAAGUAAUUAAACCACUGCUCACUUGACCAAGAAGCCCUUCAGGUAUUUCGACACAAGCAAGAUUUGGAUGAGGACAAAAGAGAGUCCUUUCUUUUUUCAAAGUGGCAAGGGUGGGGGCCACUGAGUAAGGAGUGGCUUGUAGCACUAUAACCCCCAGCAACUGAAACUACUCGGUGUUCAUUCUGGAAGAGACUAGCUUUGGGCUGAGAAAGAAGGAUGAGUUUCUGCUUCCUGGAGUCAAUUUCCCCCAGAUCACUUAAGUCUCCAUAUAAGUUAACUUAGGGUUCUGAAACUUUAUCUUUUUAC